rnacentral:rRNA from 1 species
UACAGAGGGUGCGAGCGUUAAUCGGAAUUACUGGGCGUAAAGCGUGCGUAGACGGUUAUUUAAGUCGGGUGUGAAAGCCCCGGGCUCAACCUGGGAAUUGCAUUCGAGACUGAAUAGCUAGGGUACGGUAGAGGGAAGUGGAAUUUCCGGUGUAGCGGUGAAAUGCGUAGAUAUCGGAAGGAACAUCAGUGGCGAAAGCGACUUCCUGGACCAGUACCGACGUUCAGGCACGAAAGCUAGGGGAGCAAACGGG